AUAUUGCUCAAUGGGAGAAAUCCUGAAGCAGCAACGCCGCGUGGAGGAUGAAGGGUCUAUGACUUGUAAACUCCUGUAAAGAAGGAAAAAAUUCCCAUUAGAUGGGAGAUGAUGGUACUUCUGGAGUAAGCCCCGGCUAACUACGUGCCAGCAGCCGCGGUAAUACGUAGGGGGCAAGCGUUGUCCGGCUUUACUGGGUGUAAAGGGUGCUCAGGCGGAUUUGUAAGUCAGAGGUGAAAUCUUACAGCUUAACUGUGAAACGGCCGUGGAUACUGCAAGCCUAGAGUAUGGAAGAGAGCGAUGGAAUAUCAGGUGUAGCAGUGAAAUGCGUAGAUAUCAGAUAGAACACCAAUGGCGAAGGCAGUCACUUGGUCCAUUACUGACGCUAAAGCACGAAAGCGUGGGUAGCAAACA
rnacentral:rRNA from 1 species